AACGUAGGUACCGAGCGUUAUCCGGAUUUACUGGGCGUAAAGCGCGUUCAGGCGGUUUGGCAAGUCGGGCAUGAAAUCUCUCGGCUCAACCGGGAGAGGUUGUCCGAUACUUCCAGACUUGAGGGCAGUAGAGGGUGGUGGAAUUCCGGGUGUAGUGGUGAAAUGCGUAGAUAUCCGGAGGAACACCAGUGGCGAAAGCGGCCACCUGGACUGCACCUGACGCUGACACGCGAAAGCUAGGGGAGCGAGCGGG
rnacentral:rRNA from 1 species